rnacentral:ribozyme from 1 species
GAACUGCUUUGGCUAUGGGUGCCGAUAAAGGUAUUCAUAUCCAAACUGAUUUGAGAACCGAUCAAGAAGUUCAACCUUUGAAU